UUAAUACACAUCUAAGUAUUCCUAAAUUUAAAAGUUGAUAUAAAUGCUCUUGUAAAAAUGAGUUAAACUAGUCAAAACUCUUCUUACAUUCCUUACACUACACAGCAGUCUUCAUUUCAUUCACUAAGCAUUUCAAAUUUAAGAUUCUACACAAAACUAUAUGCUUUUGGAGCAGGUAAACUAUUAAGAAUUGCGACAAGCUACC
rnacentral:lncRNA from 1 species